rnacentral:rRNA from 1 species
AAUGAACGCUGGCGGCAUGCCUAACACAUGCAAGUCGAACGAAGUCCUUCGGGGCUUAGUGGCGUACGGGUGCGUAACGCGUGGGAAUCUGCCCCUUGGUUCGGAAUAACAGUUGGAAACGACUGCUAAUACCGGAUGAUGACGUAAGUCCAAAGAUUUAUCGCCGAGGGAUGAGCCCGCGUAGGAUUAGGUAGUUGGUGUGGUAAAGGCGCACCAAGCCGACGAUCCUUAGCUGGUCUGAGAGGAUGAUCAGCCACACUGGGACUGAGACACGGCCCAGACUCCUACGGGAGGCAGCAGUGGGGAAUAUUGGACAAUGGGCGAAAGCCUGAUCCAGCAAUGCCGCGUGAGUGAUGAAGGCCUUAGGGUUGUAAAGCUCUUUUACCCGGGAUGAUAAUGACAGUACCGGGAGAAUAAGCUCCGGCUAACUCCGUG